rnacentral:lncRNA from 1 species
UUUGUCUUUUCAAAAUAAAAGUUAGAGAUAGAAAAGUAAAAAAGAAAAAAAAACAUAUAAAAAGAAAAAAAGGAAAAAAAGGAAGAAAGAGAAAUAGAAGUGUAAAAAUAAAAGAAAAAAAGAAACAAAAUAAAAUAAAAAGAAGAAGAAAACGAAAAUAGAAAAAGAAAAAAAGAUAUGAAAAGGAAAAAAAAAAAGAAAACGAAAAAGGAAAGAAAAAAAGAGAAGUAGAAGAGAGAAAAUAAAGUGGA